UACGUAGGGUGCGAGCGUUGUCCGGAAUUAUUGGGCGUAAAGAGCUCGUAGGCGGUCUGUCGCGUCGGUCGUGAAAACUUGGGGCUUAACCCUGAGCUUGCGGUCGAUACGGGCAUGACUGGAGUUCGGUAGGGGAGACUGGAAUUCCUGGUGUAGCGGUGAAAUGCGCAGAUAUCAGGAGGAACACCAAUGGCGAAGGCAGCUCGCUGGGACGGUACUGACGCUGAGGCGCGAAAGCGUGGGGAGCAAACAGG
rnacentral:rRNA from 1 species